CCUUCCCCCACUUGUGCAGUCUCUUUCUCUCCCUCUCUCUCUCUCAAAACAACAACAAAAAUAAACAUUUAAAGAAAUAAAGAAAUUUCCUAUAUUACUUUUAAAAAGUUGUAAAUUGGGGUUUUCUCAGAAAAUAUCUGCAUCUGCAAGCUUUUCACUAGAUCUCAUCCUCACUACCGUUCUAGUCCUUUGCACACUUUUUUUAUGAAAAAGAAAAAGUAAGUAAAAGAAUUUUGGUUUAGUAAUUCUGGCACAGUACAAAUUUGGAAACAAAAAAAAAAAACUAGCCAUUAUUAUGGCUCGUAUUGUUAUGGCAGGUAUUAAGGUAGAACACAUCAUUCCUAUUUUAGGUGGUGAUCCAACACUGUGUUAUAAAGAAUGUAGCCUAACAAAUCUAUUUCUAAGUAUAUGAAAAGGAGAAGAAAAAGAAGUAGAAUGACUUAGGGAGGAUUUCCAAAUCCAAAUAGAAAGUUUGGGGUCCAACUUGAGAAAGAAAGACCACUAUAUUGGGUUCUUUCUAAAAUUUAUUUUUAUUUUUCUCCAGCUUUAUUGAGGAAUGACAAAUUUAAAGUUGUAUAUAUUUAAGGUGUAUAAUGUGGUGUUUUGAUGUGAGUAUGCCUUGUGUAAUGAUUACUAACUAACAUCAAGCUAAUUAACAUAUCCAUCACCUCCUUUGGUUACCGGUGUGUAUGUAUGGUAAGAACACUUAAGAUCUACUCUCCUAGCAAAUUUUAAGUCUACAAUGCAUUGAUAUUUAUAUUUACCGUGCUGUACAUUAGAUCUCUAAAAUGUAUUCAUGCUAUAACUGAAAGUUUUACUCUUUGACCACAUCUCCUCAUCAGCACCUGGAAACCACUCUUCUGCCUUCUGUUUUUUCUUUUUUUUUUUUUAAAGAAGUUCUUUGAUGUUUACUUAUUUUUGAGAGAGAGAGACAGAGCAUGAGCAGGGAAAGGGCAGAGAGAGGGAGAUCAUAUUUGUUUGUAUGUGUGUUCUAUGUGCCUCUGUGCCCUUCCAUUUGCUACCCCUGGCAGGAAGUUUUUAAAAAAGUUCUUUCCAUUUUGAGAAAUAUAUAUUGUAUUAUGUUUUAUUUUAAAUAUUUGCUAAGGAUAUUCAUGGAAAAUAUUCACAUAGUCAUUUAAGAUCAUUUUCCUUAUAAUAAUUGGAGUUUUCCAUGAUCACAUUCAAUUUACACUUGACAUUUAUUUGAAAUAGUUUCUCUCAAGGUAGUACUGUUAUUAGUAGUAUAUCUUGCUUAAAGUGAAAGCCAUUAUAGUGCAGUUUGCUAUUUACUUUGGAGGAAUAAAGGGCUUUUGUGGACAAGGAUUAUGUCUUGGAUCUUAUUAUCAAAUAUUAGCAUUUCAAAAGGUAUAUGGUCUUUCUGGUGUCAACUACCAUGGGAAAUAAUAAAGGAAAUGUAUACCAAAAAAGAUAAGUGAAACUAACAGUCAUAAUUGCACACAAGCAUUGACAUACGGAGGUACCUUAAGACAAUGUCACCAUGAAGCUAUGGGGGGACAAAAACUAUUUUUGUUUUCCAUGAUAAUGCCUUUCACAGUAACAUGUUUAAGUGCUUGAAUGUGUGAUAAAUAUCAAUAUUUUUGUAGCAUUCUGUCACAUUCACAAGACCACUGGACAUUACCUCAGCAUUCUGUUUAUUAGACUAUCUGGAACAUGACAUCUGCGGCCGUGUUUUUUAUCCCACACACUUAGCCCAUGCUCUACUCAACGUGGGCAUUAAAUAGAAGUUUUGAGAGGAUGAGUUGAAUCAAAAGAUGAAUGGUCACAUCCUCAUGUCAGCUGGUGGGGAUCAUUGCUAGGUAAAACACUAUCUCUUUGCAGUGGUAAUUCUAGUCACCUUUUCCUUACGUCUUCUGGUCAAGUGUGUUCAUUUAGUAUUGACUUCUUUCUCCCUGUACUAACUUUACAUGGAGAUCUCACUAAUGCUCGUAGGCUGAUAACUUAACCAACAGAGCAACCAUCUCAUCAUAUUCACAGGUUCUACCCAACCUCUGAGGAAGUAUUAUACAAGUGUACACGAGGGAGUGGGAAUCUUGUGGGCAACUCGAAGUUCUUCCUACCACAAUAACAAAAGUAUUUCUACACUAAUCCAUUUCUCAUUGUUAACUUGUUGCUUUCAACUUCAUGUAUGUGGGGUGUCCUUCCCUUAAUUAUCUGGAAAAAUAUGGUUUCCCUUUGGGAUAUUCUCAUUAAUCCUUGACUUGUUUUUAUCUUUGAUUACCUUCAGUCUCACUUCAUUUACCUUUAUCCAGACUUUCUUCUACAUUUCUCUUCUCCCUUUAGAGCCUCUUCCCUUUGUAAAAGUUAUUUGAACUCUCCGCUUCAAAGACUGUCCUUUUGUGUUUCCAACUCUUGAUAUGAAAUUUUUGUCUACUAUCAAGCUUUGAUUAUAAUUGCCCAUGCAUCAAAACUGUCUUACAAAAUCAAAGAUUUACACACCAUUUUUUAUUGUCCUAAAGGAAAAGCUAAGCACCUAUGUCUUCCAUAAUUCUUUUGCAAAGCCUGUGCAUAUAAAUUGUGCACAUACUAUUUUAUCAUGUACCAGACAAUGACUUAAGCACAAUAUUCCUGUUCAAAAUAUGAAUUGAGAAGUAUUGUGGAAGAGUGGCAAUUGUAUUAUAUUGUCCUUCAUUCUUAACAUCAUGUAUGACUUUUAUAUAAAAUUUCAGCACACACAUAAUUUUUCCCCUUUUCUGGAAAAUAGUAUUAUGUGCACUUCCUUCAUCUCUUGGACAAAAUCAAACACCUGAGUAUAGAAACAAAUUGUAUUCCAGCAAUAAGACAAUUUUUCACUCCUUUUUACAUAGGUAUUGUAUUAGUUUCCUCAGGUUGGCUUUUUAUUUUCUCAUAGUCCUGGCAGCUGUAAGUCCAAUAUCAAGGGCCAGCAGGUUUGGUUUCUUUUGAACCCCUCUCCUUGGCUGCAGCUGGACUUCUUCCUGUGUCUUCACAUGAUCUUCCCUCUGUAUCUGUGUCCUAAUCGCUUCUUGUAAGGACAUUGACUAGUCAUUAUUGGAUAACGGCCCACCCUAAUGACCCCGUUGGAUGAAGUUAUCUCUUUAAUGAAGUUCCUGUCUCCAAAUACAGUCACAUUCUGGGGUCGUGAGAGUGAGGAGUUCAACAUAUGAAAUGGGGGAAGAGAAUACAUUUCAGCCCAUAGCUCUCAUGAUGCGAACCAACUGCUUUGUGCACGGGCAUCUAAGGAGAAGAUUGAAAUGCAGAACGCAGUAUAAGAGAAGUAACUACUGAGAUGAACAAAUGCUACUACAGGUUCACCAUUUUAUAGCUGUUGCAGAGGCACAUACUUGAUAGGUUGUAAUAGACCACUCAGAGAAAUGUGUUGAAUAUUUUCUUGAAUUGAAUGAAAAGGGCACAGAAGAAACAAUUUCCCAGCAUUUUAUCUGAUUCCAUAAGAAUUUUGAGCAUCAAAGUGUACUGUGCUAUGUCGGAAACCCGAUCCAAUGGGAAUCUUCUGGGUUUAUACAUGUAUUAUUGUCAGAAGAAGGAUGGUAACUUACCUGUUCUACAAUAUUAUCUUGACAUGCAUUUUUAAUGAAUUGGGUCUUUCAGUUUAUGUGCACCCAUAAAACCUAAUAGUUCAACCUCUCUAUAACCAUAUUCACCACUUCCCAUCUGAGGAAAUAACAUUUUAUUAUAAAAUUACAAUUUUUGUAACUUAGAUCUCUAGUUUCUAAGAUAAGAAAACAGACAUAUCAUUUGGGGGCAGGAAUAGAAACAAAGUAAACUCUGCUUAAAACAGAACUUUCUGAAAACAUUCCUGGACAUACUUUCGCAGUACUUUGAAAACAUUUCUUUUCGCUCAUCUUCUGACUACAGAGUGAACCAAUUCAGGUUAAAAAUAAAAUAAAAGUCUUACUGGCUAUUUGACCUAAAUGAAGAGACAUCUUUCUACCCCAUUGCAGCAGCAAAAACUAAAAUCUCUAAAUGAAUUCUCUCACCAUUGUUGUCCAUAAUUAGGGGUUUGGUCACGAGUAAGAAUAACUUGGUGACAGCCAUGUUAUCACACUCCUCUUAACUCCUGUCUCUUCCACACGUUGAAUGACUUACUGACUUCUUUUCUCCACAUAUACAAUGUUUGGCUCCUGUCUAGUGUGCAGUAGACCUUUGUUAUCACAUCUCUUCGCUCUGCUACUUCAGAUAAUUUUGACGAUUGCUUAAACUGUACUUCCCUGACUAACUUCUCUUUCCUUUCCACUUGAGAUUACCAGUGGGCAAAUUUUAAUGUUUUACAAUUCAGGAUAUAAUUUUUACACUCAGCCUAAUAGCUAAAUACGCUUAGAAAUUUAGGAAAGGUAAAUUGGGCCCCUUGGCACUUUUUUAUACAAAGAAAACAAACUACUUGUGUGCCUCAGUGUUGCUUCUGGAGGAACUUUCCAGAGCGUAAAGUAGUCAGUACUAACUCUUAGAAUGAUGUGAGUCUUUCCAGUCUUGUGACCUCAACUUUCUAUCUUGCCAUUAGGGUCAACAGGUACCAUCUUUGUUCUUAGAGAUGCAUGGGUUAACUUGAACACAUCAGAAGAGUUUAGGUUAGGAUUUCAAAGAAAUGUAUGAGUCCUUCAAAUCUCAAUUCUCAUCUAUGAUAAAAUAUCACUGUUCUUUUAAAAGAUCAUUAAAAUGAUCCCAAAUUGUCAGAUCCAAAUGCUGAUGGGCAUAGUCCAUAUUUACCACGAGGAAUAGGGUUAAAAUUUGCUGUCCAGUGACAAAUCCCAACCCGGAACAGAUUUCAGCCAGGCAGCUAGCAGAGCUCGCCGGGUGGGUGAACUGAACAGGCCAUGGUGGGUGCAGAGCUCAGAGCCGGAAAGCAAACAGCUGCUGUAGCCUGAUUUGAGUUAAAAUAGUGUGAGUGUUUAGUCUGGCGCACGGCUUCAGGGGAGAUUGGCAGCUGGGUCAAACAAAGUCCUUCCAUUGGCUCUCUUCCCAGGCAGCUUCUGCUAGUAUUUAGGUACUAGUGCAGUGUAGGGCCCUUUUCUCAGGCAAAGCUAACAUCUGACCGCACCCUCUUUGCUUUUUCCAAAAAAAAAAAAAAAAAAAAAAAAAAAAAAAAAAAAAAAAAACCAAGAAAGAAAAGAAAAAGAAAAAAAGAAAAAAAAACCCUUCUUUUUCCUUCUUUCGUUAAGAUAAAUUCUCCAAUAGACAACCUCUCCCACUAAUUGUGUAUUAGCAAUGUAUUUUAUCUUGGGAGCUGACGCACUGGGCUCUCAACGUGGUGUGGAAAGCAGCCUGUUACAGUGCUGGAUUCAUAAAAGGGCCUUUAUGGUUUGUGAAAGAAUAUCUGUGUGCUUAGGCAGGAAACUUUUUGAUCUGCAGAAAAGCCAGAAGACAUCUAGAGUUAUUGGGGCAUAACUUCAUCAUAAGUCAAGGAAGAUCUGGAGAUAUAGCAGAGGUCAAAUGUAUGAAGACUGAAGUACUUCACUAUAUAUUUCUAACAGGGUAUUCUUGAAGUUAAUCAGAGAAAUAUUCAUGCACCUGUAAAGGGAAAAACUUAAAAUGGAUAUGAGAAGUGAAGAAAGUGAUCAUAGGAGAAAAUCAUCUCAGAUCAACCACUUCAGAAGAACCAGAUUCCACUUCUGUGGCCAGGACUUUUAUGUUAUGGCUGGUCCGAUUGUUAUACACUGCGUUUUAUGCUACUAAACCUUGGAUCAUUCCUAAAGUACCAAUUCUGUUCUUGAACCACAAACAAGGCUAAAAGAUCGGAGGAAAUUCAGUGAAUAUGCAGGAUUGGGAUUGUGUAUUUUCAAAAGUAUUGAGCUUUAUGAUGCAAUUAUUUAAGAAAUAGAAUCUUUUUUUUUCUUCUCAUGUUGCCAGCAUUUUAAGUUACAUGUUUAUUAAGUGGCAUUGCUCAAAUAGCUACAGAGUAUGCAUGGAAAUAUUUGCUGUCUGAAUAGUUUGGAGAUUCAAAGAGAAAAAUCAAGCUUCAGAGGUAUUAAGUUAUGACAUGCAAAAAAGUUUUCGUUUUAUUCUUAGCUGCAACAGUAUAUAUUUAAAUCAGAUUUAAAGUGUUAUAUGUCCUUGGCCCACCUUAACAGUUGUACUGUAAAGAAGUGUAAUGGGAAGCAGAAUUUCAAUUAGGGUCCCAUUAACUGGCAUAUAAUCCUUCUUUAAUGUAAUAGAGGCGAUGGUGUUUCUGUACAAAUCUGCUAGAAACAGAUUUUAAACCCAUUUUUAGUCUCUUUCUUUGGAUCUGAUGGAAUGACUCUUAACUGUUCAUUGUCUGCAUUGUUUCUCAUAUUCUUCAUUAUUUUAAGGUCUGGAAUUAGUCUAUAAAUGGUCGUCGUGAAUAUUCAGCUAAUCCUAACUUUUAUAUAUCCUAUAUAUUUCUACGUAUGUAUUUUAAUUAGUAUUUAGAGGAAAAAGUUUAACUGAACCCAACUGUAAUUUCUAAGCUAGCCUUAUUACUGGAAGAAGAAUUCUACCGCAUCAAACCAGACUUUUCCUAGUCCCUGAGACCCUAACUUGUGAGGUAUUUUAGUAACAUCACAAGUCAGGCUCUUGGGACCUAGGCGGAGGGGAACCAGCAGCUUUGGACCUUAUUGAUUGUCUGCAGUUACCACCAGAACAAAAGAACAUACAUAGAUUCUGCCUAGGAGAAAAGAACAAUGCUUUUCUUUAUAAUCAGCAAUGUUUUCAUCAUGACCCACCCCCAAAUAUACUAUUUUCAGAAACUGUACUCAAAAGUGAUUAUAGAGUUGCACUGAGUAGCAUUUGUAUUAUAUUAUAAAGACCAUAUGAAAGCAAUAGAAGAUAACUAUGUGAGAAGCAAAGUUAAAAUACAGGUGUUUUUAAAAUGCUUCUUUUAAUGUAUUUUGAGAGAGUCUAAGAGAAUACCUCCUUAGUUAAUAAGGAAGAGAGUGGUUUAUAUUUAAAACUUCUUUCAUAUGCAUAGAAAUAUAUACAUUAGCUACUUACAUAAAUCCUAUAUGUCUCCAUGUAAUUAUGGCUCAGAAUAUGUAAUGUAUAGCUAUAAUCAUGCUUGAGGCCUAGAAAUAAAUCAUUUACAAUCUUCUUUACUGACCCUAUUAGUUUUUACUACUGAUUUAAGGAGAAUGCUAUUUUAUACUUGGUAUUUACUCCCAGAGUUUUCCUUAGUCUUUUAACCAGACGAAAUACUUUAUAUGCCAUAUUUUAAUAAGGCAUACUCUGGUCGUAAGAGUCAUCAGUAAUUAGCAAAAAUAUGGUACCUUUUCGUCUUUACAUUUUACUUUGUAUAUAUAUCAUGAACCUAUGUGAGAUAAAUCAGUAAACACCACCUAUGAAGUCAGACUGCUCUAUUCAUCUGUCAACUGAAUCUGAACUGCAUGGUUUUCGUUUUUUAAGAAUUUCAGUUUUAUAAACUAUUCCAACUCUAACUACCGUGUCAUAUUUGAACAUUAUUAGCCAUUACCACAUCACAUAUUUAUUUCUUGUAAGUGGAAUCAGUAUAUUAAACCCCUUUACAGAUUUUACAAUAAUAUUGCAGAUACUAAGAUUCAAAAUGGAGAUGACAGACUUUCCAUAAUAGAAGAACCAAAAUGAUUUCAUUCUCUUAACUCUAAUGCUUUACAUGGGUGCUAUAAAUUAUAUGUAUCUUCUGCAUUGUUAAAAUAAAUGUAUGAAUGUACUUUAGAACACUGUAUGGAGUCUUUGUUCACCUUUUCAUUGGAUUUGUUACAAUUACUCAUGUUUGAAAUAUCCCAGGAUCCUAAUCACCCAUGACUUGUAUUUCCUGAAAAAUUGAUACUACAAUAUUAUAAAAAUAUUCUUCAUCUAUACGAGCCACAUAGAAUAUGUUUAAGCAUGUGUCCACACUGUACCUAUUCAGAUUCCUUAUUUAUAUCACCUAUUUCAUUUAUCUAGAAUCUCUGAAAUUUUAAGUGUGUAUAUGUGUGUGUAUAAACAUAGCUUUUAAAACUCCAUCUGAAAGGAGGUAAUAUAAACAGUGAAGAUUUUUGGUAGUAUUUAUCUUUUACUUGUUUUAACCACGUUUUCAUUAUAAUUAGACAGCUUUAAAAGCACAAGUUUCUCAAUUCAAAGAACUCUAUGUGUAUGUAUCUACAAGUGCAUAGAGACUUGAUUAUAUUUAAUAGCAAUGUUUAUAUAUCAGAUCAGGAAUGACCUCAUAUAUAAAACAAUGUCACAUACAGGUAUAUGUUUACAGACACCUGAUUCAACACAAUCAUAAAUAACACGUAAAAGGUGUUUCAUAAAUUUACUUCUAAAAUAAUAUAAGGGAUGAUUGUUUAUUGGCUAUAGUGAUAUCAGAUAUAAGCUAUUUCAAAUGCAAUAUUUUCUAUGUUAUUAUAUCUAUGAACUGCACUAUAUAUUAACUUCUGUUUCUUAGAAGAAAGAUACCAGAGCUGAAUUUAGCGUGCAGUGAUGUUUAUCUUGCUUUUUUACUAAUCAUCAUGCAUUCGUUGAACCCUCUCAGUGUAACCUUCCUGCAUAUAAACUAUCUUUUCUGAGAACAUCAUUGAUAAAGCUUUUCUCUUACUCCAUAAAGGUGAGUAGAGAUAUAAGUGGGUGACUUUGUUUAUAUAAAACUACUUUAUGCUGUAUAUGGAUAGAUGAAUGCCACUUUUUCUGCAUUUCUACCUAAGCUGUCACAGAAUAAUAUUGUUUGGGGGGUAUCAAAUAUGAUUUGGAAAAUCAGAUCAUACUAAGCUUAAAAUAAAAGGAGAGGUCUACAACAAAGAACGAGAAAAUUAUGUGUGUUGCAUACAAAAAAAAAAGCAGUGAUAUUAACAAUUCGAUGGCUUCCUGGUUGGGAGACCAGCCUGAGCCAGACGCAUAUAUUAAGAGCUGUCUGCUGCCGAUGUGAGCUUGCUCAAUGCGGUGGAAAUGAGGAAUCACCUCCUCUCUGACACCAGCUUAUUUUCACAUUUUAAUUUUGAAAUAGCAAAUCACUGUUUUACAUAAAUAUACUAACCUCCGCUUGAUUCUUAUUCCUUUCUCAGAUUGCUUGUUAAUUUACUAUGAACUUCAAGUUCCUUUUUUAAAAAUCAUCACUCACUUUAAACUUAUCAGUUUAAAUCUAUCAAAGACCAAUGAAGUAUUAGUUUUUUUCUGUCUCUUUUGUAUUGCUCUGUUAAUAUUGUGAUACUCAUGCAUUUAACUUUUAAUCUCUGUAAGGAAAAUGUCAAUUUUCCAAAAUGGCAUUUUUUUAGGUCUUUUAGGAUCCAUCAAGGCAGCCACUUCUGGAAUUUUGCCAAAUCUAAAUAUGAUUAUAUUUCAUUGCAGGUUCAUGGGAUCAAUAUUUUUCUUCGUAUGAAAGUCCUUAACACUUUAGUGUUCCAGAAGCUAAAGAAGAGGUGUAUAGAAUAUUCUUAAGUCAUUUAAGCUUUAGGCUACAUUAAUAAUCUCUAGAAGAGGUAUAAGUAUCACAGGGGAAUUAUAGUAUAAGUUAAUUACUAAUGAAAUCAGAAAAGGUGUAUACUGCCUUCCAUUCUCUUCCAAAUGGGCAUGCCUAAGUUUGGUCGAAUUUACCUGAUAAAUAUGUAAAUGGUUUUACAAGCUGUCAUAUUUGGAUAGGUUUUGAGAAAACAGUACAUAAAGGGUUAGCUAACGCCCAAGUUUUCUUGCCAUUUACACAUGCAGUGCUGCCUACAUUUCCGUAGGCAGCAAGCACAGGCAUCAUUUUGAUUACUUGGAUUCUUUUGUUUAAUUUCUUACUAGACAUUUAACUCGGUACUCAAAUUCCACUGAUCUCUUAGUAACUGUAUUUGGAAAAGGAAAAUGAAGUUUCUAAUAUAGAGAAGUUUUAAAAAAUCCUGGGCAUUUGUAAGCAUUUGAAAAAUAGACUUUUUCAUGUAGCUAUGCAAAUACAUGUUUAGUGUGCAGAAACUUAGGUGCUAUUAUUAUCUGUCAUCUCCAUACUUAGUUUUCUGAUGAUUUGUGGUCAAAUACACACUGAAGCAUAUAUGCAUAUAUUUAUUAUAUAUGUAUAUAUCUUCAUUUUUAAAAAGUCUCAAUAAAAUCAAUGUAAAAAUUGACAUAUUGUCAUAAAAUCAUCCACAGCAGUUUUUCAGUGAGCUAGCUUUAACUUUCAUUGCCUUUUCCCCAAAUCUCUCUUAUGUUAAAUGUAGCUUUACCGGAUGAAGUGCCUUACUAUCCAGAACUGUUAACUUGUAUGUAAUGUUUUACUUGUGGAAGUUUAAAAGCAGGUGGAACUUGAAGGUAAUGAUAUUAAGUGAAUGUAAGAUUAAAUAGUUUUGUUUUUAUAAUCAGUCAGCUAAUUUCAUGCAUGUUUUAUGGGGAAUUUAAAAGUGAAAAAUUCUCAUAUGGUGACAUAAAUCUUUCAUUGUUCAUAUAAGUAGUGUGAUUUUAAGUUUGUUACCUUAAUAGUUGAUUCCUAAAAAAGUGUAUGAAUAAUCAUGGACUGCAUAUCAGUUAGGUUGAUGAAAUAAGAAUAGUGACUUCCACUUUGCAUCUUAGUCUUUUAAGGUAUUUUGGCUUCUUUUAUGCAGGUGGAUUUAACCAUUCCUUUUUUCUAAGAAGUUUCUCCCUCUCUGUUGGUAGGUGUCUGAUGAUUUGUGAGCACCAAGUGACUAUUCUGUGGAAUCAUCUUUCCUUGCCUUUGAAUUAGCUUUCCCUAGGCCAUGAGUCAACAUCAAUGUUUUGUACAUCCAAAUUGAAUUCCUGAGAACAUUCGAUGUGCCAGCCAUUGUGCAGGGACAGGAACACAGCAAUGAAUGAAAGUAAAGAUGACAUUUGAGCAGAGACUCAAAUGACAAGAAGAAACCAGCCAUCAAAAAAUCAAGGAAGACCACUGCAGGAAAAGAAGAUGAAAGUGUCAAGAACUUUUGAGGAGCCUGUCUGAAGGAAACUCAUCAAGUAUACAUUUACAAAGUGAGAGAUUAUUUGAGCUGCAAGGUGCUUAAAAGGAUACCGAGUGAAAUGCUUCAUUUUUAGUAGGUGCAAGCAUAUUGUGAGAUGUUCAAUGUUUUUUGAAACUUCAACAAACCAUGAAGGUAACAUAAUGUAUUUUGGGUGAGCCAAAGAAGUAGUGACAACAUUUCAUUAAACUUCGGGCCAACACUUUGGGUGGUAUAUUUAUUUCAAGAUAGAUUUUUGAAUAUUAUUGAAAGCACAUUUCUCAAUGGCACUUUUUGAUUUCCAUUUUUAUAUUGUGGGAAAUGCAUUAGACCAAAAAUCAGCAAACAUGAAAACUGGACCUGAUGUCAGCUCACCCAGCUUGGAUAUGUUGUCUUUGGAGACACCUUCUCGCACACCCCACUGCCCCCCAGUAAACAUUAUUCCAUGGCGCGAUCCUCUAAUCUACACUAUCUUCCUCUAUCACACUUUUGUGUUCACCCAUCUAUCUCUUAUAUCAAGCAGUGAGUUCCCUAGUGGGAGAUACUUAGUCUUUUUCUUCUUGGUAACUUUGGCACAGGGCCUGGAACCUUAAAUGUUCAUUGGCUCGAGCACAUUCUAUUAAAAUUAGUAUUAACCUUUGAUUCACUCUGGAAAAAUGCUACAAGGUUAGGACUCUCAGAAUGUAUUUUUAUUUUGAUUCUGGUUCAGCAAUCCUUUGAACCUCAGAACUUCUUAUUGCUUGAUUUAGAGGCAUAGAAACCCGGGUAAAUAACACUUAGAUUUUUAUAUUCUUCAAAAAAUAUACUUAUUCUUUAAGGGAAUGAAUCUACUGAGGAAAUUCAUAGAAGCUGAAUGUAAGUGGGUAAAAAAAGGUGGCUUAAGAGUGUGUGUGUGUGUGCAUGUGUGUGUGUGUGUGUGUGUGUGUGUGUGUAAUAUGAAGGUUGGAUUGGAGAAAUUUGGAUCAAGAAAGAAGAUCUUGUCUGAUAGUCACUUGUUGUGACAGGCACUGCCCAAUGUUUACUCACUAUCCACUUUCCCUUUUUUACUUAGCAGCCAUGCCAAUUAAGGGGUAACGUGUCCAGCUAAAAAUCUUGCUUUGGCAGCUUCCCGUGAAGAUAGAAAUAAGUCAGGUGACCCAAUUUUGGCCAAUGAUUCAAUUCCUUCAUUCCCUUUACCAUCCUCCCAGAUGGAUGCCCGGAGGAGCAAUCAUCUUACAAUCAUGAGGAUUAAAGCCACAUUCUGGGAUUGGUUUUAAUAAGAACACAAAAGAAAUCUGGAUCCUUGAUGACCUUGAGCCACAGUACUAAUCCUGAUCUUCCUAUCCACGGGUUUGUUGCAUGAGACAAGUAAACCCCUUAUUUAUUUAACUCACUGUUGGGUUUUCUUAAAACCAAACACAGUUCUGAUACAUUCGCCCGUCCAAGGAAAAGGGUAGGACAUGACUUGUGAAGUCUGAUGAGACUCACAUGUGGCCAAAACCACUCUCCUGAAACAACUCCAUCUCAGCCCUGGUGGAAGGGAAUUGCCGUGAAUGACAUAUGAUGUCUGAUCAUUUUGUUUAUUUUUUUAAGUUUCUCCUGAAACCUAGAGUUAAAGAACCCUUGAAAGUUGUCUUGAGGUAAAUAUGUAAUUUCAGCAGACAUCAACGGAUAAAUUUAAUUACUAUAUGUAUGCCUAGAUUUGACAAAAGUCAAAUAAGCAACAUCCCUCACAUAAUAUUGCUUUGAUUAAGUUUUAUUUCUCUCAGGGUGUGAUACAUAGUGCGGAAGCACAAUCAAUGAACAUUGGCAAUUUGCUCAAAUCUUGCUCUUUUGUCCUAUUUAUGUAAUUUAUUGUGUCAGUGGUUCUUAAGUGGUCUGCUUCUGCCUCUCAUCGUUUGAAAAUCCUUUCCAGAUGUUCUGAAAACGUUUCAUUAAUUUUUAUAUUUUAUUUUUGAUAAGUAAGUACAUAUGCUUGUGACUGAAAGAGAAAACACCCUUCUUUUUAAUCCCAGAGGUUUAUAUUUGGCCUUGAGAAUAAUUUAUUUGUGCCCUGCCCACUCCACCCUUAUUAUUCAAAUAGAGAUUAUUGAAGAAAGCCCUGACCUAUAAAUUUAGCUGAUCCAAAACCGAAAGGGAAAAGUACUUUAUUUUAAUGAUUUCUGUAGGAUCUGUGUAUAAAUCCACCCUUCUCCCCGCCCCCCCCCCUUAAGAAUCCUAUGAUCCUAGAAUAGAUUCCAUUCCUAAGUAUCAACCCUGGGACACAUUUGUAAAACAAGAAGUGAUGAUGUCUGUGAUGGCAUUUAUCCACACAGGUAGUUUCUCUUGUUAGUGAGUUUGAGGACCAGAAACCAGGCCUGCUGUUUCUUGGCUCGUGAGACCAUAAAGAGAGGAGGAAGACUGCUGUAUAUAUUCACAUGAAGAAUAUCUGUGUUGGGCAGCUCUCAUUACAUACAUUAUGUUUCUCUUUAUAUAUUAUAAUUCAUUGUCUUUGAGCAAAGUUUUUUUCUCCAUGGGGAGUGUAUACGUGAAUGUUUAUACACAUGCACACGUAUGUGUGUGUGUGCUUGAUUUGUUAGCUCUGGUCUCUUGAAUAUACCAAAGUAAUGAGGAGAAAUAUUUAUUCCUUGAACUGAAAAAGCUGGCUUAGCUCAUCAUCUGUACCAUGUACUUUCUAGUAUCUGAUCCUUUACCGGAGAGAAUGGAACCCAAAACUAAAAUUGCAUUUGCUAGACUCCUUUGCAGCUUGGUUGCUGAGUGAGAUUAUAUAUGACCAACCAGAUGUCCUCACAUAGCAUUGAGAAAGUGACAGUGAGGAAAAGGUCACACGGCUGACUGAUAGUUUAUUUUUAAUGAGUUUUAUUGGGGAACACUUUAUACAGAAUACAGUGCACACAUUUUAAGUGUAUAGUUUGACAAAUUUUAAAAAAAUUUAUAGACCUGUGUAGCCAGUAUCAAUAUUAAGGUACAUAAUAAUUCCCUCACCACAAAAAAAGUCCCCUGUGCCUUCUUCCAACCAGUCCUCCAGCCCCCAUUCCAGGCAACUACUAAUCUUUUUUUCAUUACCAUAGACCACGGUUAUCUUUCCUGGAGAUUCAAAUAAGUGGAGCCAUAUAUGUAUCCUCUCUAACUCUGCCUUAUUUCACUCAGCAAACUGUUUCUGAAAUUUUAUCCAUACUGUUGAUGUGGUAGACAGGAUUCUAAGAUGACCCCCAAGAUUCUUACCUCCUGCUAUCCACAUCUUCUCUCAGUUCUUCAAUCUAACAUUAAUCCAGAUGUUAUUAUGAAGGAAAUUUUCAGAUGUAAUAGAGUUUCUAAUAUGUUUUCUUUACGUCGGGAGAUUUUCUUUGUUGAGACUGACCUAGGCAGAUGAACCUGAAUCAUGAGAGAAACUUUACUGUUGGCUUUUAAAGAGUAAAUAUCUAUGUUAUUAGAGAAGCCUUGAGGUAGGGAGCACCAAGCGACCUCUAAGAGCUGAGAACAGCCCUGUCUUGACAGCUAACAAAAAUGUGACCUCGGUGUUCCAGUUAUAAAGAACUGAAUUUGGUCAACAACCACAUGGACUUAAUAGAGACCCCGAAUCUCCUGUCGUAAGACCACAGCAGUGUCCAACACCUUGAUUCAGUCUGGUGACAGGUGAGCAGAGAACCCAGCUAUGCCAUGCCCAGACUUCUGAUGUACAGAGCUGUGAAUUAAUAAUAGAUAUUGUUUGAAGCUUCCAAGUUUGUAGUAAUUUUUUAUGUACCCAUAGAAAGCUAAUAUAUUGUAUAUAUCAUUAUAUUAUUCCUUUUUUAUUGGUGACUAUAUAUCUAUUACUGUAUAACAAACCAACAAUUCAGUGUCUGAAAACAACACAUUUACUGUCUUAUAGUUUCUGUGGGUCAGCAACCUGGGCAUGGUUUAUGUGAAUAAUCGUCUGAUUCAGGGUUGCUUAUAAGCCUGCAAACAGUGUCAGCCAGCACUGAGGUCUUAUCUGAAAGUUAAUUUGGAAAAGGUCCACUUUUAGCCUCACUUAAUGGGAUUGUUGGCAAGAUUCAGUUCCUUUGGGGUUGUUAGACUGAUGGCCUCAGAUACUGGAUAGCUGUUAGCCAGAAGCACCUUUAGUUUGUUGCCUUGUGGGCCCCCAUACCCAAGAUGGCAGUUUGCUUCAUCAACACCAGCAAGGAAGAGAGUCCCUAGGGAGAUGCUACAAUCUCUAGUAAUAAAAUCACAGAAGUGAUAUCCCCUCAACAAUGAGAUACUUUAUUGGUCAGAAACAAAUUACUCAAGAAGGGAGGGGAUUACACAAAGCUGUGAAUACCUUUGGUAGUUGGGAUCACUGGGAGCUACCAUAGAAGCUACCUACCACCAUGAAUAGUAUUCCAUUAUAUGAAUAUACCAUUCAAUUCUAAGUAGACACAGGUUAAUACCAGUGUUAACCUAGGUUAACACUUAGGUUGGACUAUUAUUUAGAAAGGAAACAAGAGUUGGUACGAGCAUUCAAAGUGUAAGUGUCCAUGUGGGCACCUUUCAUUUGUCUUGAGUGAAAUUACAGGGUCAUGUAGAAACUAUGUGUCUCAUCUGAAUGCAGAACUUCCCCAAAUGCUUUCCAAAGUUAUCCUACCAUUUUAGACUCCUAACAAUGCACAGGAAUAUAUGAGUUCCAGUUGUUCCAUAGCUCCACAAACACUUGAAAGUGUCAGCUUAACUGUAGCCACAAACACUUGAAAGUGUAGCUUAACUUAUUUGAGUGGAAAUAUAAUGGUAUUCCUUAUUGUUUUCAAUAUGCAUUUCCCUUGUACAUAUUAGGUAUGUUAAGCAUCUUUUUAUAUAUCUAGAGGCAGGCUAUUUGUAUAUCUUCUUUUGUGAAGUGUGUUUAAAUGGAUUGCCCAUUUUUAAAGUUUUUUUUUAGGUUUAUUUAU